GGGGAGUAAUCAUAUGUGUCUUGAGGUUAGUUUCGACCUAAUAAAUAGCUUGGUAUAGCACUCCCCU
rnacentral:tRNA from 1 species